CUACGGGGGGCAGCAGUGGGGAAUAUUGCACAAUGGGCGCAAGCCUGAUGCAGCCAUGCCGCGUGUAUGAAGAAGGCCUUCGGGUUGUAAAGUACUUUCAGCGGGGAGGAAGGGAGUAAAGUUAAUACCUUUGCUCAUUGACGUUACCCGCAGAAGAAGCACCGGCUAACUCCGUGCCAGCAGCCGCGGUAAUACGGAGGGUGCAAGCGUUAAUCGGAAUUACUGGGCGUACAGCGCACGCAGGCGGUGUUGUUAAGUCAGAUGUGAAAUCCCCGGGCUCAACCUGGGAACUGCAUCUGAACUGGCAAGCUUGAGUCUCGUAGAGGGGGGUAGAAUUCCAGGUGUAGCGGUGAAAUGCGUAGAGAUCUGGAGGAAUACCGGUGGCGAAGGCGGCCCCCUGGACGAAGACUGACGCUCAGGUGCGAAAGCGUGGGGAGCAAACAGGAUUAGAUACCCGCGUAGUC
rnacentral:rRNA from 1 species